rnacentral:rRNA from 1 species
AGCGAACGCUGGCGGCAGGCCUAACACAUGCAAGUCGAGCGCCCCGCAAGGGGAGCGGCAGACGGGAGAGUAACACGUGGGAACGUACCCUUUGGUUCGGAACAACCCAGGGAAACUUGGGCUAAUACCGGAUAAGCCCUUACGGGGAAAGAUUCAUCGCCGAAGGAUCGGCCCGCGUCUGAUUAGCUAGUUGGUGGGGUAACGGCCCACCAAGGCGACGAUCAGUAGCUGGUCUGAGAGGAUGAUCAGCCUCACUGGGACUGAGACACGGCCCAGACUCCUACGGGAGGCAGCAGUGGGGAAUAUUGGACAAUGGGCGCAAGCCUGAUCCAGCCAUGCCGCGUGGGUGAUGAAGGCCCUAGGGUUGUAAAGCCCUUUCGGCGGGGAAGAUAAUGACGGUACCCGCAGAAGAAGCCCCGGCUAACUUCGUGCCAGCCGCCGCCGUAA